GAUUAGAUAACGCGAUCUUACUUAUAAGCAUUUCAAUAUUGUUAUUAUUUCAUAGUGUUGAGUCUCCAUAAGGUAUCUUGUUAGAUAUUAUUAGUUGCAACCAUUUUAUAUAUAAAAAAAAUAAUAGCCGAGCCAUAUCCCUCCCUAAAACUUCCCUCCAAUAUCGAUCACUACCCUCAUUUUCUCCUUGACCACACCCCCAAAAUCAAAAAUUAAAUUUCCUAAUUUCCCUCAAAGUUGAAGGUCAUUUUGAGUUUUGACAAAUUCCCUCUACACCAGCGCAACAAUGGAGGCUAAUAAUGCAACAAUGGAGGGGACUCGUAAUCACAACAAAAAUGACAACAUAAGAUCAUUGUCGGAGAUUGCCAAGGAGGAACGAUGGUCAGACCAGGACCCGCCCCAUUGUGUUGCCCAAAGCGCCCACUCCGGUUCCAGUAGGCUUAUCUCGAUUCACUUCCAUCUUCUAACAGGAGAUGGGAUUCGCAAAUGAAGAUGAAAAACUCAAUGAAAAGAGCCUACUUUUAUGGAGCGCAAGAAUAUAGGUGGCAGGUAUAAAGGAAACAAUGAUGGAUACAAAGAAGAUUUACUGGAAGAGCAUCAUCAAAUAUGCUAUUUCAUGACAUCUGGAUCAAUAACUCUACCCCUACGAGUUGUGUUGGAGACAAAAGCUGCCUAAAACCGAAAGUUCACUAAAACUUUUUAGGGAUAUUCAGAGUUAAAAUUAUUAAAUUAUAUUGAAUAACCAACUUAUAUGAAGUUUUACGAUGUCAGCAGGUGUUGGGGUCCACUCGCUGGUAGUCGGGUUCCCUUGCAAGAAGCAUGAUGUGCAAAUUCAACUUCAUGGACGAAAUUCAAGGCCGUCUCAUUUGUGCCAUCUACUUUGAUGACCCAACAUGCAUAAUUUGGUGUCGAGAAAAAUCAUACUAUUUGUUGAAUUUGCCCAAAAUGCUUAUAAGUAGUUUCGCAACAAGGCAGCAUUUUCAAGAUCAAUAAGUGUAUGUGGUCGAGUUUUAUUUUAAGCAGUUUUAGGUAGGUUGACUAUCACGUUAGCAGCCCGACGUAAUUAUAAUUGAAGCUGGAUAAUGGAGGAUAUUGCAUAAGGAAGAGCGUGGAGUGGUAAUAUUUUGCAAAUUUUUAAUAUGAAGAACACCUUCAGAAACAUUUUGACAUCCAAUGAGCAAACUUUGAAGCUAGGAUGCGAAGUAUCAUAGAUAGCUACCUAUCAGAGUACUUUAAGAUCUUAGAGAAUGGUAGGAGGUUUUUGUUACUUUUAUCAUUGUAAUUACAACUUUAUUUUGAUUACAUUGUUAUUUAGAAUUGGACAGAUGUUAAAUUAUGAUAUAAGAUAUGUAUUAUAUUUGUGUUAUUA